rnacentral:rRNA from 1 species
GACGAACGCUGGCGGCGUGCUUAACACAUGCAAGUCGAACGAAGAGCGAUGGAAGCUUGCUUCUAUCAAUCUUAGUGGCGAACGGGUGAGUAACGCGUAAUCAACCUGCCCUUCAGAGGGGGACAACAGUUGGAAACGACUGCUAAUACCGCAUACGAUCCAAUCUCGGCAUCGGGACUGGAUGAAAGGUGGCCUCUAUUUAUAAGCUAUCACUGAAGGAGGGGAUUGCGUCUGAUUAGCUAGUUGGAGGGGUAACGGCCCACCAAGGCGAUGAUCAGUAGCCGGUCUGAGAGGAUGAACGGCCACAUUGGGACUGAGACACGGCCCAGACUCCUACGGGAGGCAGCAGUGGGGAAUCUUCCGCAAUGGACGAAAGUCUGACGGAGCAACGCCGCGUGAGUGAUGACGGCCGUCGGGUUGUAAAGCUCGGUUAAUCGGGACGAAUGGUUCUUGUGCGAAUAGUGCGAGGAUUUGACGGUACCGGAAUAGAAAGCCACGGCUAACUACGUG